rnacentral:lncRNA from 1 species
GAUGGCGCUGACCCGCAGUUUUACUCGCUCCACGCGUACAGCUCCGAAUCCAUUGCAUGAUUCUGACUUUGCUUUUCCUUCAAAAAUUCGCGCAAGGUCUCUUUUUCUCCUUGUCUCUGGAGGGAUUUCGUUGGUUCGUUUGAAUUGUUGCUCUGACGUUAAUUUGUUUUUUGUUUUAAGCGAAACUUGGGACUGCUGACGUCAGAAAACGCGAGAAAAGCUGGAAUAUUUGCGGCAUUCGAGUCAGCUUGAACGAUUGGAAAGCAGUCAGUCAAAGAGUCCAAGUGCAUAAGGAAUUUUGCCACUAAAUCGAAUUACAAAUCGGUUUAAGUAAUUGUUUUCCAAUUUUGUUUUUUGCAAGUAUCACUGCAUGAAAAUGUGAUUUAUUACUACCGUAACUACGUACAUACACGUGCGUCAUGCUUCAGUACAGCGCGCACAUUUUUUGUAGACUAGAAUCAUCGUAAACUGAAAAAAAAAGUAAUCCUAGAAAUUUGAAAAAUGUCACGAACGUAGCAUUAAACAGUAUACCCCUGAAAUUAACGAUUCUUAGCGAUAUAAAUUAACAGACGGGCGUCACAUGUUUUCCAUAUGGCCACAUCUGCGAGAGUUGAUCGACUAUAAAAAAAAGACGCCUCCACGCAGGUACCCACAGUAAUUCCCACGCAUUUUCUAUGUUGCCAUUGCCAGAUGACGAUAAAAUAAUGUUUACUGAAAUUCAUUGCUCGCGUAAAUUGGUAAAUACAUGCUUUUGGGUGGCCCUCUCUUCUCUCGCGGUGCAUAUAUAUGCAAUUUUUCUUUUCACACCAAGCGUGAAGUGUGCGCCUUAGCUAUCGCUAGAAAUGUAUGAACCUUGCACGUAGUGUAGAAACAAAUUAUAUUCUCGGACUAGUAGUGAAACGUACUGAUAAAUUUUGUUAUUUUCAAUAUGACAAAUACAAAUGUUCAAUAAUAAUAUCAAAUCGAAUUUAUUUGUCAAUCAUCCUAUAACUGUCUGCGAAACAAUAUAUACUCGGUUAAUGCCCAGUUUAAACAAAAUUUUUUUUUCCAAAAUGUAUAAAAUCAAGGCUCUUACACAAAAAUUUAUAGUAUCUAUGUUUAAAGGCUAAUUAUCAUAUCAUAUCAUUUGCGGAACAAACAAAACUUUUCGAUUAUCUAGCAUAAUAUAGGGAACUGUUAAGCAAUCGUUGCACACGUCAUCAACAGGAAUGUAUUUUGUCGGCGAUGAAAAUAAAAGCAAAAAAAAAAGAAUUUCAUUUAUCACGAUUUUAUUUGAAAUAUCUAUUAUUUCUAGUUUACUUCUUAUGAGUUAUAUUUACAGACGACGAAGUGAUAAAUUAUAAUACACGUAUUAUUUUAACAAGUUUCGUUUAACAAAUAAAUGCUCUAAACUAACGAGUUACUUAAUAAUUACAAUUAAAAUCUAAAUUUUGGACUUAAGGGCCUCGCACAGUUCUGUUCUCUCGAGAUUCAGUGAUAUACAAAAUACCUUUAGUGGUUUCUACGUUUAUUAUCGCACCUUCUUCGUUUUUCUUAUUUACUUAUUUUUUUCUUUCAAUUACAACUAUGACAGUAUUAAGCUAAAAUAGAGCCGAUAACCGAAAUACCAUAUUAUAAAGUUGGAUAAGAGUGACAGAGAUAGAUAGAUUAUAAUUGAGCGUUUAAAUUAAAAAAUUGUAGAAACACAAGAAAUUCCUACACUUUGCAAGAUUUAUAUAAUUGAUGUCUAUUAGCAGUCUUUGUGGAUUUUCUCCAUCAACCGAUUGAUUUUAUUAAUUUUAUUCAGUCACACAAUUUCAAAUAUUCAAUUAUAAAAAGUAAACAUUCUUCUUAACUUGGUUAAAAAACUGUAGCUGGUAGUACACGUUCAAAACUGUUUUUUUUUUCUGUACUAUAGGUUUGCAUUUAAAAUAAUUUUGUAAUCAAACAAAUUUAUGCAAAUUUUAUUUUCACAUAUAAAAAACGAGAACUGUUAUUUUUAUUCUGAUUCAUUUUUAUGUGUUUUUUUGUUAUUUAAUCCAAAGGAAAUUCUUCAAAGAUUCUUCGCUUCUUUAAAAGUAACAAAAUAAUAAAAGAAGGAAUUUAUUUUGUUACUCUGUCUGUGUAACCUUGUAAAUUGCUUAUUUUCAAAUUAUGCAAACACAACUAUGAGGUGAAACGAUACAUAAAAAGACAUGGUGUGAUCGACGACGCGGAUAAUUUUCCAACGAAGCCAGUCCGUUUCCUGUAAUCUUUUUAAUGGCAAAUAGAAUCUUUCAAGUCACAUUUUGACUUCAAUUAUAAAUAAAAUAUACCAUUUUCACCGUAACAGGAUAUUUGUUUUAUCUUCUUUUUUUUACUAAGCAAGUGUCUUUUGUUUUUUUUGUCUUUAUUACCGACAGAUAUAGAAUUCAGGCGCGCGAGGCGUGCGUGAAUUUAAUACCAUAGUCUAAGUUUUUAUAUAUACACUUAUUUCUCGUCUCGAAAUAUACAUAUUUAGAGCUUUUUACAAUUUCUUUAGCGAACUUCAGAAACUGUCAGUCGACAUUAGUUACAUACUUUUUGUCUUCUUUCCCAUUCCUGUUUGCAAUAGUCCAUUUCAUUAUGACAGGUCAAUAUAGCCUCUUUGUAUCAGGCAAUCUUUUUUUUCAGUAUUACCUAUAGGGUCGUGUAGCAUGGAAAACUUUUGACAACGGUUUCUUCAAUUCAAGUGGUCUUUAUUAAAAGCUAUGGAUUCCAAUCAUUAGUCUUCGCGUGCUUUUAAAUGCAACGCGAUUCUGGCGGAAGACUACUAAUAUUUAAUAUACACGAAUGCAUGUUAAAUAAAUAAUAAAUACAACUCAUUUUUUUAAUUUGAAGCUUCAGAACAUUAUAUUAACGUUCAGCUAUUAAUUACCAUGAUCAUAUCAGUGUAUCAAUUUGAUUACAGUAGUCAAAAAUCUAUUAAAAUGCAAUAAAUAAUUAAAAUGUGGUUAAUUAAAUUUUCAAUAAAUAAAUCAAAAUUUAAUUGUUUGAAACUGUAAUCUAUUGUAUAAAAUAAAAAUUGACGCCACCGCAUUACAGUAAACUUCACUUGGUACCUAACAGUACAUAUGUAGUUUUCAAGAUUAAGUCGUUAAAUUCAAUAAUU